UGACUGCAGGAGCAGAUGAGGAAGAGAGAAAGGUUGUGUUACACUGGGUCCCUCGAGCUGGAGCAAAGGCCCGGGAGGUACGGAGGCAACCCCUGGACACAACUGCCUUUCUUGGCAGACAAAUGAUAGGAGGAGGACUUCCUCUGACAGCAAAAAGGUCUGGUUUGUAAACUGUCUGUCAAGGAUGGAAUUCAUCUCUUUGGAGGGGGAAGAGCCCCUGCCACGUCCGUUUGCUAAUCCUGUUAAGAAGGUUUUAAAAUAGAGUCACUGGAGAUUAAUGACAGGAACCCCCGGGGAAGCAUAAACAGCAGUGACCUGGACAAGAACCUAAGGCAGGCAGAAGUGAAGGUGUACAGAGAUGCCCUGCACUGAAAUCCAGACCGGAGGAGCAGCAAUAUGCCACAGACCAUCAACAUGCCAGACAUGAGAUGCUUCUUGAGUAAAUAUGAGCAUCAUCCAGAAAAUAUGACUGUCUGUGAGAAUCACUGCAGAUAUACAGUGAACUCAACCUUAAACAG